rnacentral:rRNA from 1 species
UACGUAGGGCGCAAGCGUUGUCCGGAAUUAUUGGGCGUAAAGAGCUCGUAGGCGGUUUGUCGCGUCUGCUGUGAAAGCCCGGGGCUCAACCCCGGGUCUGCAGUGGGUACGGGCAGACUAGAGUGCAGUAGGGGAGACUGGAAUUCCUGGUGUAGCGGUGAAAUGCGCAGAUAUCAGGAGGAACACCGAUGGCGAAGGCAGCUCUCUGGGACGGUACUGACGCUGAGACGCGAAAGCGUGGGGAGCGAACAGG